UACGUAGGGUGCAAGCGUUGUCCGGAAUUAUUGGGCGUAAAGAGCUCGUAGGCGGUCUGUCGCGUCGGCUGUGAAAACCCGGAGCUCAACUCCGGGCCUGCAGUCGAUACGGGCAAACUGGAGUGUUGCAGGGGAGACUGGAAUUCCUGGUGUAGCGGUGAAAUGCGCAGAUAUCAGGAGGAACACCGGUGCGAAGGCGGGUCUCUGGGCCGAUACUGACGCUGAGGAGCGAAAGCGUGGGGAGCGAACAGG
rnacentral:rRNA from 1 species